GAUGAACGCUAGCGGCAGGCCUAAUACAUGCAAGUCGGACGGGAUUCAGGAGCUUGCUUCUGCUGAGAGUGGCGCACGGGUGCGUAACACGUAUGUAACCUACCUUUAUCAGGGGGAUAGCCUCUCGAAAGAGAGAUUAAGCCCGCAUAAAAUCACAGCACAGCAUUGUGUAAUGAUCAAAUAUUUAUAGGAUAAAGAUGGGCAUGCGCAACAUCAGCUAGAUGGCGGGGUAACGGCCCACCAUGGCGACGAUGCUUAGGGGAGCUGAGAGGAUGGCCCCCCACACUGGUACUGAGACACGGACCAGACUCCUACGGGAGGCAGCAGUAAGGAAGAUUAGGCGAGGAGCGGAAGCCUGAACCAGCCAUGCCGCGUGAAGGAAGACUGCCCUACGGGUUGUAAACUGUUUUUAUACGGGAAUAAAACCAGAAACGUGUAUCUGGCUGAAGGUACUGUAAGAAUAAGGAUCGGCUAACUCCGUG
rnacentral:rRNA from 1 species